GAAGCGGUGGCUCAAUGGUAGAGCUUUCGACUCCAGUUAGUUUCUGGGACAAUUCGGAAAGAUUGCAAUCGAAGGGUUGCAGGUUCAAUUCCUGUCCGUUUCA